rnacentral:rRNA from 1 species
UACAGAGGUCUCAAGCGUUGUUCGGAUUCAUUGGGCGUAAAGGGUGUGUAGGUGGCGCGCUAAGUCGGGUGUGAAAUUUCGGAGCUUAACUCCGAAACUGCAUUCGAUACUGGCGUGCUUGAGGACUGGAGAGGAGACUGGAAUUACGGUGUAGCAGUGAAAUGCGUAGAUAUCGUGAAGAAGACCAGUGGCGAAGGCGGUCGUCGUGACCAGUUCCGUACGCUGAGGCACGAAGGUCAGGGGAGCAAACGGG